rnacentral:sRNA from 1 species
GUUCAAAGUCCUUUUC